CAGUCGCCACGGUAAUACAGAGGGUGCGAGCGUUAAUCGGAUUUACUGGGCGUAAAGCGUGCGUAGGCGGCUUCUUAAGUCGGAUGUGAAAUCCCUGAGCUUAACUUAGGAAUUGCAUUCGAUACUGGGAAGCUAGAGUAUGGGAGAGGAUGGUAGAAUUCCAGGUGUAGCGGUGAAAUGCAUAGAGAUCUGGAGGAAUACCGAUGGCGAAGGCAGCCAUCUGGCCUAAUACUGACGCUGAGGUACGAAAGCAUGGGGAGCAAACAGGAUUAGAUACCCGCGUAGUCCCUGUCUCUUAUAC
rnacentral:rRNA from 1 species